rnacentral:rRNA from 1 species
AUUGAACGCUGGCGGCAGGCCUAACACAUGCAAGUCGAACGAGUGGCGGACGGGUGAGUAAUGUCUGGGAAACUGCCCGAUGGAGGGGGAUAACUACUGGAAACGGUAGCUAAUACCGCAUACCAUCGGAUGUGCCCAUAUGGGAUUAGCUUGUAGGUGGGGUAACGGCUCACCAAGGCGACGAUCCCUAGCUGGUCUGAGAGGAUGACCAGCCACACUGGAACUGAGACACGGUCCAGAGUCCUACGGGAGGCAGCAGUGGGGAAUAUUGCACAAUGGGCGCAAGCCUGAUGCAGCCAUGCCGCGUGUAUGAAGAAGGCCUUCGGGUUGUAAAGUACUUUCAGCGGGGAGGCGUUACCCGCAGAAGAAGCACCGGCUAACUCCGGGCCAGCCGCCGCGGUAAUAC